UGCGACAUUCAGACAAGGAGCAACGUUGCAAUAUUUCGGAUGCUGUGACAACGUCGCACCCACCAUAAUGUGUUUUCAGUUUUUUCAAUAUGUGGCUAUAUAUACUAAAUGAAGAAGAUGCAAUGCGUAUUUUUUUUUAUAUUAUUACAUCCGGACUUUUUUUAAACUGAUGUAUAGGGUUACCUUGAAAUAUGAAUUUUGAAAUUUUACUUCGAUAUUUGAAUUUUGCAUUUGAAAACUUAAAAAUGCAAAUGUACACAAAGUAAACUCUAUAAGCUGCUUUAACAUUUUUUAUAAUUCUACUCCAUGUUUGCAACUAGUAAAUUUUCCUCACUUUUGUUUUAUCAGACUAACACAGGGUUGAAUACAUUGCUAUUAUAUGUUUUAUUACUUCUAUAAGAAACUUCUCCAAGGUACUCUACUUUGAUAUGUUUCUUCCCGAACAAAUCGUAAACUAACUAGGUAAAUAACGUGGCAGGUGGAACUUUGUUAGCUUAGAAAUCAGAGCGUCGGCGGCGCCACUUUAGAUUUUCUCCAUCAGAUCUUAGCGAUUACAUUGAUUAUUGCUGUCACAUAAAACUAUUUAAAAUAUUCAAGAAUAAAAUCCGUAUACAUCGUGCAUCGAGAUACAUGCGUCAUAAUUAUACCCGAGAAAUCAUGAAAAUAUUUUGUUCAAUUCAUUUCAACAUACAUUUCGUCGAGAUAGCUGACAAAUUUAAGUAUUUUUCCUUUCCGCGCGCAUGCGCAAAUUGCGUAAUCUAUUCACCAGUCGCAUCAUUGAGUUGACAAAAUACAUACACUAUGCAGAGCGGAAAGAAUGCGGCUUUGAUUGGUCAUAGUAGACCCACCUUUUUUGGAUAUAUGUAUUUCUGUACCGUAUGGCAAAAAAAGAGAUCUCGAAUAUAGUUACUGCCGCUUGAAAAUCACGAUGGACGUGCCGUGUGUCACUGAUUCGGACUUUCAGCCACGCGCGCACAUAAGCCGUCUAAGGAUUUGUCGAUCAGAAAAGGACGCCAUCGACCUUUCAGUCGCGACGGCAGUGACGAUCGGCACGCCAUUGAAUAGCGUUGACGCCUAGCAUCGUGUAUUGACAAUGGCAGCAAUAGCGUAAUCUUAGAAUGUUGAUCAUUAAUGUUUAAAACGUGUCACGGUUGGAUACGGGAAUCCUACUACUAUAUCAACGUCUACCAUUUCAAAAGCUUCAAAGGUCAUUGACGUUGAGAUUUUUGGAGCGGGACAGAGAUCUUUGAAAUUUUGAAACUUUGAAACAACUACUGCCUUUUAUAUAAUGUAAUAUGUAUAAAAAUACUGUAGUAAUUGUUUAAAUAUGAUUGUACGUGAUAUUAAGACAAAAUAUAUCUUGUACAUAAUCGUUAAAAUAUUCAAUUGUAUAAUACAAUGAAAUAUAAAGUUAGGGUGGGGCUCAGGCAUAUGAACCUUAACCAAACACUUAACGUAGGUAGAUCAGUAACGAUCGAAUCCCCUAGUUCCUGUAUGUGGCACUAGAUGGUCGCUGGAAGCAACCCUUCUGUUAUAGAAAAAAGUGUCACUCUUGAAACAUUUUCUUGCUACUUAAACAUUUACAUCUUGCUAACUAUGUUAAUCAAAUAUUCGUAUAUGAUACAGUCAUGAAGGUACAUACGUAUCAUAGAUAUUCAAACGAUACAAAUCACUUCUAAGAUUUUGAGUGACGUGAAUUUUUCUAUGAUUCUGUAAGUUCCUAUUUCGAUAAGAACAUCUAGUUACAUAUAAUUUUAUUAAAUAUUUGAAAGUCUAUCUAAUAGGUAUUAUAAAAGUAAUAUAAAAUAAAUAUGAAAUCAAAUUUUCCCACUUAAACGUUUACACGCAACUAGGGCACGCGAUAUGACAACGUACUUCUAUAUAUUUGGGGUUCCCUCCCCUGCAUCGCCAUUUUCCCUCGGGAGCCCAUCGUACUCGGUACUGUACUUAAGUAAAAACAAAAUCAGGUGAACGAUUGCAGGUAUGAUUGAAUGAUAUGCAUAAGAUAAGCAGAUAUAUGGAUAAAGUAAAGAAUUGAUGAGUGGAAAGAAGACAGGGACACGCUUUCUUUGCCGGGGCGUCGACAUAUCAGCAGUCGGCGAAAGAAGUUCAAUGUGGCGGUAAAGGCAGACGGUAAUGCAGAUUGCGAAUUGGACUUUAGGUGUCUCCUGCUACCGCGUUACACUGUACGUGCACUUCGAACUUCCAGCGUUCGCGACCUUAAGCAUUUGUGCGCUAUCCUUUCAACCAUUUUCUUUUCUUUCCCCAUUCAUGAUUUAUAAAUACUAUAUUUCAAAAAUUGUAUCUCUUUGCCGUUUCGAUAACUAAUAAAUGAAUCUUGUAAAUUUGUAA